AUUGAACGCUGGCGGCAUGCUUUACACAUGCAAGUCGAACGGCAGCGCGGGCUUCGGUCUGGCGGCGAGUGGCGAACGGGUGAGUAAUACAUCGGAACGUGCCCAGUAGUGGGGGAUAGCUCGGCGAAAGCCGGAUUAAUACCGCAUACGACCUGAGGGUGAAAGCGGGGGAUCUUCGGACCUCGCGCCAUUGGAGCGGCCGAUGGCAGAUUAGCUAGUUGGUGGGGUAAAGGCCUACCAAGGCGACGAUCUGUAGCUGGUCUGAGAGGACGACCAGCCACACUGGGACUGAGACACGGCCCAGACUCCUACGGGAGGCAGCAGUGGGGAAUUUUGGACAAUGGGCGAAAGCCUGAUCCAGCAAUGCCGCGUGUGUGAUGAAGGCCUUCGGGUUGUAAAGCACUUUUGGCGGGAACGAAAAGGACUGUGCCAAUACCACGGUUCGAUGACGGUACCCGCAGAAUAAGCACCGGCUAACUACGUG
rnacentral:rRNA from 1 species